UGUAGUCGAUGCAGAGGUAUCAACCACAUGGAAACCAUAUCACUGAUGUGUUAGUUAGGCUUGAUGUAGUCGAUGCAGAGGUAUCAACCACAUGGAAACCAUAUCACUGAUGUGUUAGUUAGGCUUGAUGUAGUCGAUGCAGAGGUAUCAACCACAUGGAAACCAUAUCACUGAUGUGUUAGUUAGGCUUGAUGUAGUCGAUGCAGAGGUAUCAACCACAUGGAAACCAUAUCACUGAUGUGUUAGUUAGGCUUGAUGUAGUCGAUGCAGAGGUAUCAACCACAUGGAAACCAUAUCACUGAUGUGUUAGUUAGGCUUGAUGUAGUCGAUGCAGAGGUAUCAACCACAUGGAAACCAUAUCACUGAUGUGUUAGUUAGGCUUGAUGUAGUCGAUGCAGAGGUAUCAACCACAUGGAAACCAUAUCACUGAUGUGUUAGUUAGGCUUGAUGUAGUCGAUGCAGAGGUAUCAACCACAUGGAAACCAUAUCACUGAUGUGUUAGUUAGGCUUGAUGUAGUCGAUGCAGAGGUAUCAACCACAUGGAAACCAUAUCACUGAUGUGUUAGUUAGGC